UACGAAGGGGGCUAGCGUUGUUCGGAAUCACUGGGCGUAAAGCGCACGCAGGCGGAUCGUUAAGUCAGGGGUGAAAUGCCGAGGCUCAACCUCGGAACUGCCUUUGAUACUGGCGAUCUUAGAGUCCGGGAGAGAUGAGUGGAACUCCGAGUGUAGAGGUGAAAUUCGUAGAUAUUCGCAAGAACACCAGUGGCGAAGGCGGCUCACUGGCCCGAUACUGACGCUGAGGCACGAAAACGUGGGGAGCAAACAGG
rnacentral:rRNA from 1 species